rnacentral:rRNA from 1 species
GAUGAACGCUGGCGGCGUGCCUAAUACAUGCAAGUCGAGCGGAAAGACGAUGAGCUUGUUCCGCUCACGUUAGCGGAGCGCGGGUGAGUAACACGUGGAUAACCUCCCUGUCUGACUGGGAUAAUCACGAGAAAGCGGAGAUAAUACCGGAGAAGAUAUUGAACCGCAGGGUGCAUUGGAGAGAUUCGGCGUUGCUGUAUCGACUAGAUGGAUCCCGGCCGCAUUGGCUAGUUGGUGAGGUAACGGCUUAUCACGGCUACGAUGCGUAUCCGAGCUGACAGGCGGAUCGCCGACAUGGGAGCGGGGCCACGGUCCAGACGCCUACGGGAGGCAGCAGUAGGGAACGUGCGGCAAUGGGCGAGAGCCUGACGCAGUAAGGCGGCGUGUGUGAUGAAGACCUUCGGUUCGUAAAGCCCGGUUAUUAGGUAUGAACAGAUGUGUCAGGAAAUGUGCCCUUCUUGACGGUACCGGAUCAAGAAGCCACGGCUAACUACGUG